UAGCAACUUGGCGCUCUUCCUGUAAUGCCAGUUCAGGCAAUGACUCAGCAGGCAACUAGGCAUGCUCGGCGAGUCUAUGUUGGUGGCCUUCCACCAACUGCAAAUGAACAGUCGGUGGCAACGUUCUUUAGCCAAGUGAUGUCGGCCAUUGGGGGAAACAC